CCAGGUAAAUAUAUCUGUCUUCUCAACUAUUUAUCAUCCCUUUAGAGUGAAACUAUAAAAGUUAUUUUAAUUAUUUAAUAUAAUACUUCUAUAUUUAGUCUUUGAGUCAUGUAUAUCUCCAAGGUAUUUUUUAAAUCACUUUUCUGGCCCUCCUCCCCUCCAGCAUUUGGAAAUGCAGACUGUGGCUCUCUGCCUGCCUAUACAACCCCACCCCAGAACUACUUGUUCCUAUGUAGAGUAGUUUAGUAUCCAAUGAACAACACCCCACCCCUCUUUCCUGACCCACCUACCCCUGGCAUCUGAGAGCCUCACUGUACACUCAAUUUCUGUAUGAAUCCAUGGGUAUUCUUUGAAACUAUUUUCCCUACUGACUUGAGAGGAAUGUCUAAGCAUAUUUUCAUAUUUAGUUGCUCAACUGAUAAAGCAUGGUGUUGUACUUGCCAAUGCAAGUAAAUUUAAUACUGUUUAGUAACUGAACAUCCUUUCUUUUUAAAUGUUUGUCUGACCAAGCUGUUUUGUCUUGCUUUUCUCCCUUUUGGUUGUUACGUUGAGACAGGAAGAACCUAGGCCUGGCAAUUCUAUCCCUUCCAUCUCCACAGUGCUGGGAUGUUUGGAUUAUUUUAUUUUUUUUCUUAUGACCUUUACAACCAGUGCACUUAAACUAUGAAAUAAUUGACAUUUUACUGGAAUAGAAUUAAACUUACUGUAGAGAGGAAUCCGUGGUGUGAAACCCUCCCAGGAAAGAUUAGUGUUUUUCUUCUGAAGUACUGCAAUGGUCUUUAUAUAGUUUUGGGAUCUAUGUCAGUUAAGUCUGUUCACAGGCAUUUUAUCCUUAUUACUGCUAUUACAGACGGCUCAUAUCUUCCACUAUAUCUUCUGAUUUUGUCAAAUGAAUACAUGAUAUUUUUUUGCGUACUGAUUCUCUGUCUCACCAUCUAACUGUAUUCUUGUGUUUUCCAUGUAUCAAGUCAGAUUCUUGUUAAUCGUAGUAUGGUAAUCUCUUCCUUCCCUACUUCUCUGCCUCCCUUCUUUUCUCCAGCUUAUUUUUCCAUUGAUAAGUAUUUUGUCACUUCUUCCAUGGAUUCUCACAUCUGCUCAUGUUCAUCUUUCUUCUUCCAUAGAGAUGUUUAUAUUUAAAUUAAUGAUGGAUAGUUCCUAUUUCUUCAAAAGUUUUACUGCAACUUUUUGGAUGACUGGUGCUGAUGUCUUUAAUGCACUUCUCUAUGUUUUUCUUAGUAUCCUAUGGCUGGUAUUCUACUCUUCAGAAAACAUAAUCUGUCAGUGAAUGAUCUGAGUGUUUAUGAAUUUAAAAGAGUUAUGGGAGGGUGGGAGGCCUCCAGUUGUCCCAGACACCUUUUAAGCUCUGACACAGAUCAACUGUCUCCUGCCAACAUGGUACAGCAUAUACCCAUUUGUCCAACCCUGCUACCUCUUCAUCCUCAAACCCAUCCAACUCUGCCACCAAAUCUCCCUACCUGUGAUAGCAAGUAAGCCAUACAACUUUUCAACCAGAAAAUGAAUUGGUUUAUUUCAAAAUAUGUGCUUUUGCACUCUUUUUGUAAUCUAUCGUUUCCAGACUUUCUUACUAUCCUUUUAGGCUUCCUUCUAGAUGAAUUCUAAUGGAGCUUAGUUUCAGUGGUCAUUACACGUUUGUUAGAAUUUGCUAAUUAUCCAUGCUUUAUACUUCUGAAGAUAAAGUUGUAGUUCUUCCUUUUUUUUAAUUCUACUGAUGACAUUUUGAAGGUUCUAAGAUGUCAGGAGAAUGUGGUAAAGACAUAUUGAGGUCUGGCUGUGGUGGCUCACACCUUUAAUCGCAGCACUUGGGGCAGAGGUAGGUGGAUCUCUAUGAAUUCAAGGCUAGCCUGGCAUACAGAGCAAGUUCCAGGAAAGCCAGGGCUACAUAGAGGAACCCUUUCUUGAAAAAAUGACUUUUAAAAAAGCCAUAUUGAAAGAACUAUCACACUUUUUUUUUACUCAAAAUGCAGCCCUGUACCCACAGGAAUACAGUCAAGCCUUCAGGAGACAUAACUGUGUGAAAUGCAUGCCUCUGUAGGAGCUCCCAGAGUGUGGCAUCUUAUGGAUGGCCAUUUCUUUCUGGUUUUUCAAUUGUUCCCUUUCUGGCCUGAUUCUUUCCCACUUAAUACACAUGUACACAUAAACACAUUCAUAUGUUCAUGUACUUGUAUGUAUACGUGUAUUCAUGUGCAUAUGGACAUGGUUAUCAAAUACUCAGACUAAAAUCAGUUGAGAAUUUAAAAUGUUCUUUUGAUUUGGUGAUGGGGCAGUCACCUGUGAAUAGAUUGACUUCAUGAUGAAAACAAGAAUUUUGUUGGAAAACUUGAAAAGUGGACAGGAGGUAAAUGAAGGAGUGCAGACUGCUUUCCUAAUAUACUUGGCUAGUAAGUAAAGGAAAGUUUUACAGGAUCAAGUUGAAAGUCACAGCUAAGAAACUCUAUAUUUAGAUCUUCGUAAGCAACUUGUUUAGAAAGUGGUGUCAUAGGCUUGUAGAGUCCUGUCCUUCAGGGUGGGGGAGGAAAGCAAGGAGAAGAGAAGGAAUAUUCUUAGGGCCCAGCCUUCAAGAGUUUUCAGUUCAUGGACUUGAUCCUUUGGAACUCUUGCCUGGCUCUGAGACAUGAUGCUAAACAACAAACUAUGCAAUGCACUACCAACCUUCCUAUACUACUGAACUACUUCCCCUGGAUGUCCUAUAGGUAAGUCAAAGUCCAAGUCAAAAUUUAAUGCUUUGUCCAAUUCCCAAGCUUGUACCUUUCUCCCCUAUAUUAGCAUUCUUAGUGAAUAUAUACCCAUUACAUACCUAGAAACCCUAGCAAGUCAUCCCUGUGUAUCUGAGGCCGCCAUUUCUUCCCUGCACUUGACAUCUAAUUGUCAAUGGCUCCUAUACGUCUAAUUUCACCUGAAGUGCUCAUGCCCCUUUCCACCCUAACUGCCACAUUCUUAGAGUAGGUUACGAUCAAGUGUCGCCUACACUGUUGUUACCAUUUACUAAUUACUUUCUCAUUCUCUGCACAUCCAAAUACUAUCCUUAUAUCACCCUCCACACCACUGAAAAAGUGAGUCUUUCAAAAUGCAUUCUGACCAUGCCAUCCCAUAGGCUAAACCGUUAUUUCUUACUAAGGCAAUAUUCUUAAAGAGUCUGAUUGUGCCUGCUUACCCUUUCCUGUUUCAAACUGCACUGUACCUGAUACCUUAACUCCACUUCAGAGAGAAUGGGUUUUAAUCAAACUACUUAUUUUAGAGAGAAGGAAGCAUUCCUGCUGAAGAGAAUGUCCUGUGUAUAAAGCAAUUUUAAUGAGUCUUUUGAAUAUGCACAUACAGAAUCCUAAACUUUGUGGAGAUUCUGAAAGCUAAAACAAGAGAAUUAGGGUAUGAGUCUUGAAGCAGGUACGAGUUAAAGUCACUGUGACUGAAGCCAUACAAAGGCAAAUGACAAGCAUCGAGGGAUCUAAUGAGAAGAUAGAGAAUUUUGCAGACCACCAUGAGGCAUUCCUGUUGCUGUAGAGGGAAAAUGAUUGACUGUUGGCUAUGAGAAAAUGUACAGAUAGAGGCUCUGAAUUCAAUGGUGGUCUCCUAAAAUAUGGGUGAGAUGGGCAAACAGAUACACAGAGACACUCAACUGUAAGGCCCAGCGGAGAUACAGUCAAGUGGACAACUUGAAAGGGAGAUGGCAGCAGUGGGCCGAUGACCACAUACAGUCACAGAAG